UCAGAUAUGGUGUAACGGUAACACGACCCCUCCUAUUUUAUAAUUUCCAUGAUUGGCUCUGGGGUAGUCCCGGGUUCGAUCCCCGGUGUCUGAG